GGCCUGGUGGUGUACGGGCAACACAUCCUCUCAGUCUACAUCAGUAGCAUAGACCAAUAGGAGGAAGAACCCUGUUCGAUUCGGGGCCAGGCUA